GUCUACGGCCAUGCAUGCCACCCUCAACACGCCUGAUCUCAUCUGAUUUCAGAAGCUAAGCAGGGUCGGGCCUGGUUAGUACUUGGAUGGGAGACCACCUAGGAAGACUAGGGCUGUAGGCU
rnacentral:rRNA from 1 species